GCUGACUCUUUUUUCUGACUCAGCCCGCCUGAACCCAAGUGAUUAAAAAGCUUUAGUGCUCACACAAAGCCUGUUUGGUGGUCUCUUCACACGGACACGAGUGAAAGCCCGAAUUUUGAAAAUAAUUAUUUUCAGAAGUUAUGUAAGUAAACUGACAUCUUGGUAAUGCACUUUAUUCUCUAGGCUUAAUUUUCUUCCCUACCAAAAUCAAGGGCUGAAUUUUAUGAUUUUCAUGAUCCCUUUUAGCAUUUCCUUCUGAUACAUUAAUCCAUUUUUAUGAAUUUUAAAAAGUGUUGUGAUUUUUCUUGCUAUUAUAGCAGUGUUAUGACAUAUAGAUUGAAUAACUGAGUAUUAAUUCACAUUCUUGGAUCAAUUUCUGUCUACAGCAAAACAUAUUUUGCUUAAUUAUUUGUAUAUUUUAAGUGAAAAUAUUGUGUGACCUGAGGUAUCAAGAUCAUUGCUUUAAUAAACCAUUUAACCACCUUUUUUUUUUUUUUUUUUUUUUUUUCAGAAUAGCCAGUGUUUCCUAGUAAUUUAUUUUCUAAAAACAUAAAGAUCCCCAGAAGCGUGAUACCAGGCACUCUUUGUCACUGCCACAACCUUUGUUCCAUAUGUUUGAAAUUUACCAUAUGCUUUGUUGAACUCUGAAUAUCUUUUCAGAACUUAUGUAAGUAAAUUAACAUCUUGGUAAUGCACUUUAACUGAGACAGGUCUCAGUUAAUUUAGAAAGUUCAGUUUGCCAUGGUUGAGAUGGGCACCUACAACACAGCCUCAGGAGGUCUCGAUGACAUGUGCCCAAGGUGGUCAGAGCACAGUUUGGUUUUAUACAUUUUGGGGAGACUUGAGACAUUGAUCAACAUAUGUAAGAUGAACAUUGGUUCUGUCUGGAAAGACUGGACAACUCGAAGCAAGGGUGGGACAACUGGAAGCAGGGAGGGGGUUUCCAGGUCAUAGGUAGGUAAGAGACAAACAGUUGCAUUCUUUUGAGUUUCUGAUUAGCCUCUCCAAAGGAGGCAAUCAGAUAUGCAUUUAUCUCAGUGAGCAGAGGGGUGACUUUUAAUAGAAUGGGAGGCAGGUUUGACCUAAGCAGCUGCCAGCUUCACUUUUAGCUUAGUGAUUCUGGGGACUUCAGAUUUAUUUUUCUUUCACAGCUUCAAUUCUACCAAAGGUGUCAGUAGUCAGAACAGUCAUGGAUAUUUAGCAAUGUUCGCUGCAUUAAAAUUGUAUUAAUUCCUGUCUUCCUUUUUGUGCUUCAGAAAUAUCAGACAUGGAAUGGAUUUUACUUCAGAUAAUUAAGAAUUGGCUCUUUGAUCUUGGUUCCAGGCAAAUUACCUCUGAGUUUGUGACAACAGAAAAUGUAACUUUGUAAUUUCUUACUACAAUUCACUACCGAUUUUUAAAAGUGUCUUGAAAACUCAUUGUAUCAAUGUCAAUUGUGACUUUUACAUAAUGCUAAAUUUUCAAUUCAUUUUUCCUUUAUUUUUUAAGUAACAAAUAACUUUCUAGUAUCUAUAAUUUUUUAACUGGCUCUUCUAAAAUAAAUAAAUAAAUAUAUAUAUAUACACACAUAUAUAUGUAUAUAUAUGUAUAUACGUACAUACACACACACACACACACACACACAAGCCAGUAAUCUCUUUUUCACUGCCACAAUCUUUGUUCCAUAUGUUUGAAAUUUACCAUAUGCUUUGUUGAACUCCG
rnacentral:lncRNA from 10 species